rnacentral:rRNA from 1 species
UACGUAGGGUGCGAGCGUUAAUCGGAAUUACUGGGCGUAAAGCGUGCGCAGGCGGUUCGUUAAGUUCGAUGUGAAAGCCCCGGGCUCAACCUGGGAACUGCAUUGGAAACUGGCGAGCUUGAGUGUGGCAGAGGGGGGUGGAAUUCCGCGUGUAGCAGUGAAAUGCGUAGAGAUGCGGAGGAACACCGAUGGCGAAGGCAGCCCCCUGGGCCAACACUGACGCUCAGGCACGAAAGCGUGGGGAGCAAACAGG